rnacentral:pre_miRNA from 1 species
CUGGUACUCCUUCUGUCCGGAAAUACUUGUCAUUAAAAUGGAUGUAUCUAGAUAUAUUUUAGUUCUAGAUACAUUCAUUUUCAUCUAUUUUGAUGACAAGUAAUUUCGAACAGAGGGAGUAAGUC